rnacentral:rRNA from 1 species
UACGUAGGGUGCGAGCGUUGUCCGGAAUUAUUGGGCGUAAAGGGCUCGUAGGCGGUUUGUCGCGUCGGGAGUGAAAACACCGGGCUUAACUCGGUGCUUGCUUUCGAUACGGGCAGACUAGAGGUAUGCAGGGGAGAACGGAGUUCCUGGUGUAGCGGUGAAAUGCGCAGAUAUCAGGAGGAACACCGGUGGCGAAGGCGGUUCUCUGGGCAUUACCUGACGCUGUGGAGCGAAAGUGUGGGGAGCGAACAGG